rnacentral:rRNA from 1 species
CCUACGGGAGGCAGCAGUGGGGAAUCUUGCGCAAUGGGCGAAAGCCUGACGCAGCAACGCCGCGUGCGGGAAGAAGGCUUUCGGGCUGUAAACCGCUUUCAGCAGGAACGAAAAUGACGGUACCUGCAGAAGAAGGAGCGGCCAACUAUGUGCCAGCAGCCGCGGUGAUACAUAGGCUUCAAGCGUUGUCCGGAUUUAUUGGGCGUAAAGAGUUCGUAGGCGGUCGAGUAAGUCGGGUGUGAAAAUUCUGGGCUCAACCCAGAGACGCCACCCGAUACUGCUUGACUUGAGUUCGAUAGGGGAGUGGGGAAUUCCUAGUGUAGCGGUGAAAUGCGCAGAUAUUAGGAGGAACACCGGUGGCGAAGGCGCCACUCUGGAUCGAUACUGACGCUGAGGAACGAAAGCAUGGGUAGCAAACAGGAUUAGAUACCCUGGUAGUCCAUGCCGUAAACGGUGGGCACUAGGUGUGGGUUUCUAUUAACGAAAUCCGCGCCGUCGCUAACGCAUUAAGUGCCCCGCCUGGGGGAGGUACGGUCGCAGACUAAACUACAAGAAGUUAGACGG